rnacentral:piRNA from 1 species
AAUAAGCAAAAGGACUGCUAGUCAUC